rnacentral:lncRNA from 1 species
CCAUAAGGGGAAAUGGAAAAUAUGUCCUAAUGUUUUAUUUCCAUGUUGAUGCAUUAUAAUGAUUCCCUUAAAAUGUCUUGUCUUAUUCUUCAGGGAACCCUUAUCUAAUCUGCAUAUGAUGUUCGCAAAGGGCCUGCUGGAAGAUCCAAGUCCAGUCUGCACUCAUGAAGCACCUGCUCUGCAGGUGUCUUCCUUCACCCUUGCAACUUCCAUGGGGCUUUUUUCUGAGGAAUUCAUUUUAGCCCCAGAUCCUGCAAGCUGAGAUAUUUAUACAGCCUAAGCCCAGAGUCUCUGAGGAGCAACUAGGAUUAUCAAACCAUUAAAUUUCGGUAAGAUGAGACUUCUCUAGAUUCUAUGGAUUUUACAGCAUUUUUGCAGACUGACAGGCACUGUCAGCUGGGAGCUCAGCAUGGCUUCUUGUUCCCUGCUACCAGGUAGGUGUUCACCUGCAGCUCCAUCCUUUCACAAGUACAUGGUUCUCCUGGACAUUUUAUUGCCAAGUUCUAGAAAAAAACAUAUGAGAUGUCAGAGAAAAACAGAACAUUUAUAUUUUAAGGAUAAAUAAUACUGUUGCUGGAGGAUAAAAAUGCCAUUAAAUUUAUUAACUCUAGUGGUAAUGUCUAUUUAAAAUGGUAUUGAGAAGCAGUCUGCUAUGUAACUAAACUAUUAAAUAAAAGCCCAAACAACAUUUCUUUGUUCAGCCAAACCGACACCAUUGGUAUUACCUUGUUUGCCCACAGUUUAGCUGAGGACCUGGUAGUUUGCUUUCCUGGACAUUGCUUUCUCAAUAAGUGUAUGGCAAAUUCAUAAAGCUCAUCACCACCAUCUGAUGCUCUGCUCUGACCACUGGUUUUGUUGGAGUUAGAGCAGAUUAUUAUUUUUUUCCAACAGGAUGAGCAGGCCUAUUAAACACGGAAUAGAAACUGAACCCAAAACUCGGAGCUGAUGGUGUUUUCUGAAAUGGCCACGUACCAGCUGCAGUGCUGUCGGUAUGUGUUCUGCUGUUGGUUUGAAGGGAGCAGGAUGUGACCUGUGGUACCUUUCAUGGCAGGGCAUUGCAAGCAUGCUACCAUUUAGGGAUCUACUCAUCCUCUAAUAUGCGCCCUGAAAAUGCUGCAACACUGUUUAUUGUCUGUAUUAAGGUUGCGCCUAGUUUAUGCUAAUUUUGAUAGCGGAAAGACCAUGUUCUGUAUCACUUAUGCACAUUUAUGCACAAGGCACUAUUUUCAGCAUGCAUCAGGACCCUAGGCACCCCAAGAGGCUCCGAUUGCCCUGAGCAGCCUUGGAUGGGGGUGGCACCCUCUGCCCCUAGCCAGGCCCUGCAUUUGCACCCCAGCGUUUGCCCUUCCACCUGAGCCGUGCCGU